AUUCCACUAUGUUGACGCUUUCUAACUAUCUCCUUAAACCUCUCCCAUGUUUCAAAAAUAGUUUCAAUCUCUUUCUGGAAAAAGUUAUGAAUUUCUCUUCUAAACUU
rfam:Nicotiana sylvestris Nsyl_contig181155, whole genome shotgun sequence.